AUGACCUUACUUGAACAGGAUCUGUUUACCGCUACAUCCUUUAGCAAUAUAAGGAGGCAAGCACUUCAGUUUGGUUGUGUUCCUGCCUGGUUUCACACUGGUGCAGGAUGGCCCAGAGGUUGUCUGACAGACU
rnacentral:snoRNA from 1 species